rfam:Daphnia pulex DAPPTscaffold_103_Cont4512, whole genome shotgun sequence.
GUAGAUAUGGCCGAGUGGUUAAGGCGACUGACUCGAAAUCAGUUUCCAUCUUGUAGCGUAGGUUCGAAUCCUGCUAACUGCG